rnacentral:rRNA from 1 species
AUUGAACGCUGGCGGCAGGCUUAACACAUGCAAGUCGAGCGAGCGGCGGACGUGUGAGGAAUGUCUGGGAAACUGCCUGUUGGAGGGGGAUAACUACAGGAAACGUUAGCUAAUAUCGCAUACCAUCAGAUGUGCCCGGAGGGGAUUCGCUAGUAGGUGGGGUAAUGGCUCACCUAGGCGACGAUCCGUCGCUGGUGUGAGAGGAUGACCAGCCACACUGGGACUGAGACACGGUCCAGUGGCCCACGGGAGGCGGCAGUGGUGAAUCGUGCACAAGGGGCGCAAGACAUAUGCAGCCAUGCCGCGUGUGUGAAGAAGGCCUUCUGGGUGUAAAGCACUGUCAGCGAGGAGGCGUUACUCGCAGAAGAAGCACCGGCUAACUACGUGCCAGCAGCCGCGGUAAUAC